UACGUAGGGUGCGAGCGUUGUCCGGAAUUAUUGGGCGUAAAGAGCUCGUAGGCGGUCUGUCGCGUCGGCUGUGAAAACCCGGGGCUCAACCCCGGGCCUGCAGUCGAUACGGGCAGACUAGAGUGCGGUAGGGGAGACUGGAAUUCCUGGUGUAGCGGUGAAAUGCGCAGAUAUCAGGAGGAACACCGGUGGCGAAGGCGGGUCUCUGGGCCGAUACUGACGCUGAGGAGCGAAAGCGUGGGGAGCAAACAGG
rnacentral:rRNA from 1 species